AAGUUUACAAAUUUGUGUUGGGCCACAUUCAAAGCUGUCCUGGGUGGCAUGAGAACCAUGAGCUGAGGAUUGGACAAGCUUGCUCUACAAUAUUCAAAGAGCCAGAUUUCCUUCUGCACCAGAGCCUGUGGAAGCGCCACAGCGGAAGCACAGAGACUGGAAGAGCAGGCCACAGAUCAGCCCUGGGGUUCAGAGGGAUCCUGACGGCUACUCCUCAAGAUCCUCUCUGUUGUGAUUCAUCCCCCCCAGGCCCUACAGUUUCUCCUUCCUGACUCUUACAUUUCUUUGGAUGGCAUCACUAUUGCUGGAGUGCAGUGGUGUGAUCUCAGCUCACUGCAACCCCUGCCUCCUGGAUUCAAGCAAUUCUCCUGCCUCAGCCUCCCAAGUAGCUGGGAUUGCAGUACCUGUCUCCUCCCAUAGUUAGUUGCCAAGCACUGUGGAUUCUACCCCUCAGGGUCCAGACACCCAUUUUCCUUCCCACUGUUCCCUCCCCAUGGAGAAGCCUGUGGCUGACUGACAGCUCAACUUGGAGAAGGUGUUACCUGGGCCAGGUGGGGAAGGUAGGGUUGUUUGCAGAGCAAAGAAGUGAAGGAAGUAUUAACCCUUUGCAUGGCCUCCUGAGAAUCUGACAAGACGUAAAUAGCCAAGAAUAUCUGUGGAACUUAAUCAGUGAGUUACAAUAUUUAUCACUGCAAGUGUGUUGUUCAUUGACACUAUAAAGCCAUAUGGAAUUAAGCAGCCUUGAAACACAAAAUGGAGAAAGGCUAAGAGCUGAGAAUUGUUGCCUUCAGGGAAAUAUAAUCAAUGUCAAGCA
rnacentral:antisense_RNA from 1 species